CCUACGGGGGGCAGCAGUGAGGAAUAUUGGUCAAUGGCCGUAAGGCUGAACCAGCCAAGUAGCGUGAGGGAAGACUGCCCUAUGGGUUGUAAACCUCUUUUAUGCGGGGAUAAAGGUGUCCACGUGUGGAGGUUUGCAGGUACCGCAUGAAUAAGGACCGGCUAAUUCCGUGCCAGCAGCCGCGGUAAUACGGAGGGUCCGGGCUUUAUCCGGAUUUAUUGGGUUUAAAGGGUGCGUAGGCGGAAUAUCAAGUCAGCGGUAAAACUUCGGGGCUAAACCCCGUCGUGCCGUUGAAACUGAUGUUCUUGAGUGGGCGAGAAGUAUGCGGAAUGCGUGGUGUAGCGGUGAAAUGCAUAGAGAUCACGCAGAACUCCGAUUGCGAAGGCAGCAUACCGGCGCCCAACUGACGCUGAAGCACGAAAGCGUGGGUAUCGAACAGGAUUAGAUACCCGGGUAGUC
rnacentral:rRNA from 1 species